UGGAUAACUCCCAGGUCAGCAACUUGUCAGUUGAUUUCCAAGCUGCUGUUUGACAGACUCUGGCUCUGUAGGGAGCACCUGGAGACAGUCUCACUAUUGUUGCCCUGGCUGGUCUUGAACUCCCGGCUUCAAGUGUUCCUCCUACCUUGGCCUGGUCUUGUGCAGAACCUUUUCAGCUUUCAACUCAUUUUACAAGGCUAGCAUUACCAUGAUACCCAAACCGGAUAAGGACACAACAACAAAAAAGAAAACUACAGGCCAACAUCACUGAUGAACAUAGAUGCAAGCUGAGUCCCAUAGCUCAUCAAGAAGAUCAUCCACCAUGAUGAAGUGGCUUUCAUCCCAGGAUGCAAGGAUGGCUCUCCAAAUGCAAAUCAAUGCGUAUUAGAAGGAUCACACGAUUUUUGUUCUCAGUUCUGUUAAUGUUCUUGAUUCUGCUAAUGUAAAAUCGUUUCUCUUAGUCUCUUUUUGAAGAGCAGUUGAAGGUGAAUAUGCCCUUUUGCUUUUUCUUUGCCUGAAACAUGUCUAACAGUUUUCCCAGAAAGACCUUUGGGUCUAGGACCUGCUCUAGCCUCUAAGUCCACUUCUGCUGAGCGUGGCAGCCUUGGCGGAGGCGGGUUCCCAGACCUUCCUCAUCAGCCAAAGGCAUGUCUGUCCCCUCUCCAGGGCUCUUGUAACAUCGGAAGGAGCUUCAACAAGGUAUUUAAGAAAUUUUAUCAAAAUCGUUACUGAUGAAGAUGACUCUUACUUUUUUCAUGAAAUUCUUAAAUGACUUAAUUUUAGUUUCUUUUUCUAUUUUAGCCCAUUUCUGCUCCCUGAGGGGACCAGCUUCUCAAGAAGAAAUUCUGACUUCCUUUUUACAUUUUUCUUUUCUUUCUCAGAGGACAAUGUAGUUGGUUCUGUGAACUAAAUGUGUCUUUUAAGAUACCCCAUGUCAUCCAAAGCUGGGCUGAUGCUGUGACUCCUCUCUGUCAUCGUCUGCUCCUCGGCAGGGUGACCUGGGCUCAUUCAAAGCAUUGAGCAUGCUGUGCCUCUCCAUUCUGUAGGAUGCUUGUCUUAUCUCAGUGAAACUGGGGGUCCAAUGGUUUGAGGGACUAUGACACACUUGUCCACUCUGUCUCCUACAGGACUUGCCCAGCCUCAUGUCAGAAAACUCAGCCCUUUGGAUAUUCACAAUACUGAGUUUACUCAGGAAGAGCUUAAAGAAACAUAGUCGAUCACCUACUGUUUGGUAGAUCUUGGACUAAAUUUACCCUGGUUUCAAAUCCCAUGUGUUCUGAAUGCCUUAUCAACAGUUUGCAACUGUCCUCCCCAGGAGGAAAGCAAGCACUCAUAUGUAACGUGUCCCUCUGCCCUGACCACGAGUUCUGUGGAGACCGAGAGGGAUCUGUGUGUUCAGCGCUGGGUGGAUGCAGGUGGUCUGCACGGAGCAGCCGCAGCCUUGACACCUGGGUCCUCGCCUGGGUUUUACUUGGCUUCAGGUAAACAGGGUGUGCAGUCCAGGAAUGGGGCUUGUAGGACACCCGGGCCAGCAGCACAGGCAUGAGCAUUACCCGAAACUCAAGAUUUUCAUGACUUUACCCAAAACUCAAGAUUUUCAUUUCCAUACAUUAUGUAAGUAUCCAAGCUGGUUGAGCUGAGGCUUCACCUCUUCUUUUUUUUUUUUCCUUUUCUUUUCUUAGCCUAACACGGAAACACAGGGAAGCUGUGUCUGUUCUUCCUCUUUCUUCUCCUUAGUUGUCCAGACCUGGGUGUUCAGCACAGUUCCCUCCAAGAAGUUUAGAGUGACGUUUUCAGAGGGCAGGACCCUAGUGAGGACAGACGUCUCAGCCCCCAUGCUGAGCGGAAGGAGAGAGGCUUGGUCCAGCCCUCAAGGCCUUCUAUGCCCACCAGGUAUUUAGGAAGCCUCGGAGAGCCUGAAGCAGCAAAGAGGAGAGGCACUCCAUGGGGAGCACAGGUGGAGAGAGAACCCUUCCCACUGAAGCCUCCAGCCCUGGCUUCUUCUCAGCCUUUGGCAGCUAUUAAAAAAUUCCUUCAAUUUUUGCCCACUAAUGAUGCCUGUCAUUCUUUGGAACCUGAAUUCAGAAGCGCAGGCUCCUAGCAGUGUGUCUGACAUAUUUACAGGGAUGCAUUUUAUCCUAAAAGCUGGGGCCAUUUGUACCCGAGAAGGCUGUAGCUAUAGGAACCUCUGGACCUGUAUUUCGUAGAUAAUGAAGUCAGUUUUUUCUGGGCACUGAACAGUUUUCCACUUCCCGGUAUGUAGGUUAAACUUGGUUUUAGUUAUGACAGAUUCGGAUAACAAGUAUGGAAGUUACCGGGUGCGGUGGCUCAAGCCUGUAAUCCCAGCACUUUGGGAGGCCGAGGCGGGUGGUCACGAGAGAUCGAGACCAUCCUGGUCAACAUGGUGAAAUCCCGUCUCUAAUAAAAAUACAAAAAAUUAGCUGGGCAUGGUGGCGCGUGCCUGUAAUCCCAGCUACUCAGGAGGCUGAGGCAGGAGAAUUGCCUGAACCCAGGAGGCGGAGGUUGCGGUGAGCUGAGAUCGCGCCAUUGCACUCCAGCCUGGGUAACAAGAGCGAAACUCCGUCUCAAAAAAAAAAAAAAAAAAAAAGUAACCAUCUAAUUGAUGGCUCAGUGUACGGUAUGGUUCUAGAAAGGAUUAUUUAGAAUUAUUUGAUCGGGUAAGGUUGUGGUCAUACUGUAUCUAGAUUUUCCUAAGUUCUCUUAAAAAACAAGUUCAGACCAACACGUAUAGUUAUGGGGGUGUGUAUAAAUGUGGUCUGCAGAGUGCCUGUGUGGAUGCUCUGGGUCAGGCUGGCAGCCUCAAGCAGGGCCUGAGGUCAUCCUCAGUUGCUGUGGCUGAGUUAAGUUUACCCCCUAAUUCUCAUGUUGAAGCCCUGACUCCCAGCACCUCAGAAUGUGACUGUAUUUGGAGAUAAGGCAUUUCAAGAGAUAACUGAAGUGAAAUGGGGUUAUUAGGGUGGGCCCUGAUCCCAUCUGACUGGUGUCCUUAUAAGAAGAGGUGAUGAGGACACAGACACUCCCAGAGGGCUGACCCUUCGAGGACCCAGGGAAGGAGACAGAGAGGGAGGCAUCGGAGGCAGCCGGCCUUGCCCACCCCUUGCUGGUGGUCUUCAGCCUCCUGAGAUGUGAGAACAACUUCUGUGUGUGAGCCGCCCAUCCGCAGCCCAGUCUGUGGGAUUUGCUGCGACAGCCGAGCUGACUCCCACACGGGUCUGGAGCAAGCGCCGGCCGGGCGCCCCAGGGCUCUCCUCUCUCCGACAGCCUUUCUUAUGACCGAGACUGCCUGCAGAGCACACGAUCUUGCCACGCUCUUCCGUAAGUGUAGAAUGCUGAUUUUCUCAGGGAGCAACGUGCCCUCCCAAAACUCAGUUUUCUAAGCUCCCUUCCAGCUCCAGGCAGUGGCACUCAGGCGGAACAACACGGGCAGAUGCCCCUUCCUCCAAUAGGGAGGCAGAGGCUCUGGGACAGCUCUUCCCUGCUCCGGAGCAUCUUCUCUGUCCUUGCUGGAGGGACGUGCCCACAGUGGUCUGUGCCCAGAGGCAGCCCUGCAGAUGAUGGGAGCACAUGGCCGUGGGGAGUGCAGGGCCCUGGCCACCUCGCUGGCAGGCCUCCCCUAUCUCCAGGCUUGUUUCUAUGGGACAAAUAAAAACCCAUUUGUUUAUGUCAGA